ACGUAGGGGGCAAGCGUUAUCCGGAUUUACUGGGUGUAAAGGGAGCGUAGACGGCGAAGCAAGUCUGAAGUGAAAAUCCGGGGCUCAACUCCGGAAGUGCUUUGGAAACUGUUUUGAUAGAGUGUCGGAGAGGUAAGUGGAAUUCCUGGUGUAGCGGUGAAAUGCGUAGAUAUCAGGAAGAACACCGGAGGCGAAGGCGGCUUACUGGACGAUAACUGACGUUGAGGCUCGAAAGCGUGGGAAGCAAACAG
rnacentral:rRNA from 1 species